AUCUUAAGGUUGUUGCGUUCUUCAGCUUGAGCAGUGUUUUCCUCGGCACGAAUCAGGUUUCAAACCGUGUGAUUUCAGACUGGUAAAACUUCGAGGAGAUUCACGAUAUUCGUUGAACAUGCGAAAAUUGGUAAUUUUGUUCAUUCUCGUGACUUGCACGCUGUCUGUCGCAGUGGCUGAUCAUGAUGAGUGCAAUGCAGAUAGGGCCUGGAAGCUGUUUGUUUGUGAUGGGAAUCAGUGGCAAGCCAUAAAAGCUGAUGAUAUUUUAGAUAACAGAGGCUCUCCUAAAAAUCCGGGAAAAUCGUGCGAUGACAUAAAAGAUGAAAGACCCAAUGCAGAGAAUGGCAUAUAUUACAUCACUUUGGGUGGUAAGUUGUCGUUUUUCGAGUUCAAUUGC